UCCCAGGUAGCUUAAUGGUAAAGCACCCAACCGGCAAUUGGGGGAUCUGGGUUCAGGUUCAGGUCCCGGUCCGGGCU
rfam:Strigamia maritima strain Brora ctg7180001228615, whole genome shotgun sequence.